AACCUUCAGGUGUUCAGCUCAUUUGUGUGGGGAGCUGUGGCUUACACACGCUACACAACGCAUUCAAGUGUGGGUUCAGUGCAUGGCAGCUGGACAAGUUGCUGAGAGCAAUGCACACAUUGUUUCACAAUGUGCCUGCCAGGAGAGAGGAUUACAUCACCAUAACCAAGUCCAGUGUGUUCCCCCUGUCUUUCUGUGCCCAUCGUUGGGUAGAAAACCUUCCGGUUGUGGAGAGAGCCUUGGCUGUCUGGCCAUCACUUCUCCUGUACAUGGAAGCUGUGAAAACAAAGAGACUCUCCAACCCUGGGACAGCAUCCUAUGACACAGUUGCAGCAGCCAUAAAGGAUCCACUCAUCUUGGCCAAAUUGCAGUUCUACGCAGCACUUGCCAGGACCUUCACUCCCUUCUUGAAAAAAUAUCAGACAGAUAAUCCUGUGCUCCCAUUCCUCCCCAAGGAUCUCACCGAGUUGAUGAUGAGUCUACUCAGACGUUUCAUAAAGAGAGAAGUCCUCCACGAUAUCACUGCCCUGCAGCUGACCAAACUGGAUGUUACAGACAAGACCAUCUGGCUCAGCCCACAAGACAUCAGCAUUGGUCUAGGUGCAGAGUCGGUCCUUAAGGUAGUGUGAUGUUUUCAAAAGAUCGUUUAACAAAUGGUUAGGCUGAACCAGGUCAGUGAAGACAUGUUCUAUAUUCAUGGCUAAUUUCUCUGUAGAGCAUCAAAGGUGCAGAGCUCAGGGUGCUAGAGUUCAAGAGAGAGUGCAUGCAGGGACUGUGUAACAUCAUCAGGAAAGUGCA
rnacentral:lncRNA from 1 species